ACGGGGAGCAGCAGGCGCGAAAACUCUACAAUGCAGGCAACUGCGAUAGGGGAACAUCGAGUGAUCCUCAUAUUGGGGGUCUGUCCACCCGCCUAAAAAGCGGGUGUUAGCAAGGGCCGGGCAAGACCGGUGCCAGCCGCCGCGGUAAUACCGGCGGCUCGAGUGGUGGCCGAUAUUAUUGAGUCUAAAGGGUCCGUAGCCGGCUUUGCAAGUCUCUCGGGAAAUCCAGCGGCUUAACCGUUGGUCGUCCGGGGGGUACUACAUUGCUUGGGACUGGGAGAGGUAGGAGGUACUCAGGGGGUAGGAGUGAAAUCCUGUAAUCCUUUGGGGACCACCGGUGGCGAAGGCGUCCUACCAGAACAGGUCCGACGGUGAGGGACGAAAGCUAGGGGCACGAACCGGAUUAGAUACCCGGGUAGUCCUAGCCGUAAACGAUGCUCGCUAGGUGUCACAACAGUCGUGAACUGUUGUGGUGCCGUAGGGAAGCCGUGAAGCGAGCCACUUGGGAAGUACGACCGCAAGGUUGAAACUUAAAGGAAUUGGCGGGGGAGCGC
rnacentral:rRNA from 1 species